GACGUAGGAUGCAAGCGUUGUCCGGAUUCAUUGGGCGUAAAGAGUUCGUAGGCGGUUUGUUAAGUCUGAUGUUAAAGAUCGGGGCCCAACCCUGGGAGUGCAUUGGAUACUGGCAGACUGGAGUGCAGUAGAGGCGAGUGGAAUUCCCAGUGUAGCGGUGAAAUGCGUAGAUAUUGGGAAGAACACCGGUGGCGCAGGCGACUCGCUGGGCUGUAACUGACGCUGAGGAACGAAAGCUAGGGGAGCAAAU
rnacentral:rRNA from 1 species